rnacentral:misc_RNA from 1 species
GAUGAAGAACGUAGCGAAAUGCGAUAAGUAAUGUGAAUUGCAGAAUUCAGUGAAUCAUCGAAUCUUUGAACGCACAUUGCGCCCAUUAGUAUUCUAGUGGGCAUGUCUGUUCGAGCGUCAUUUCAACCCUUAAGCCUCUGUUGCUUAGCGUUGGGAGCCUACCUACCCGGUAGAUCCUCAAAGUUAGCUGGCAGGGUCGAGGUUCGCCCUAAGCGUAGUAGUUCUUUCUCGCUUCUGCGGCUGCCUAGGCCAUCGCCACAAGCCUUUUAAACUUCAAUGGUUGACCUCGGAUCAGGUAGGAAUACCCGCUGAACUUAAGCAUAUCAAUAAGCGGAGGA